UUUUAUAAUGCCAAAUGAUCAUUUAUAAUGCUUAUAUCAAUUUUGUUACUGCUAAAUGAAAAUUCAUAGUCGAUAGGUGUUUAACUUUACUAAUGCUAAAUGAAUAUUCAUAAUGCAAAAUGAUAAGGAUAAAUGAACACUUUAAUAAUGCUAAAUGUUCAUUCAUAAUGUCAGCAAAUUAAUUUUAAUAAUUAUGAUCAGAUAGGUAAUGAUAAAUGAUCAUUUAUAAUGAUUAUGUUUAGUUAUUGAACAUGUAUGUCAAUGUUUGUGUUCAUUUGUUUUUUAAAAUGCAGUUGGAAAGAAGGAUGAAAUUAUUGUUCAAGAAGCAAGUAAAUUUACUUGGUAAAGCAAAAGCUUAUGAAAGGAAAAGGCCAAGUUCCUUCAAGUGCUCCAAGAAAUGAUCAAGUUCCUUUAAGUGUGCCAAGAAAUUUUCAAUUUCCUCCAAGUAUUUCAAGAAAUUUUCAAGUUCUUGCAAGUGUUCCAAGAGAUGUUCAACGUGGUAGUCAACAUAUUUCUUCUAAGUAUGAUAGGUUGUUAGCUUUUUUUGACACUGUACUAAUGUAGCAAAGAGGUUAGCAAACAAAUAAUAAGUAAGGAUUUGGAUAGAAACAAUAUAUAUUUGUUAGAGCUUAAUCUUUCUCUAAUAAGUGAUAUGUAACUGAACAUAUUUUGUUUUGAAAA